rnacentral:rRNA from 1 species
UACGUAGGGGGCAAGCGUUGUCCGGAAUCAUUGGGCGUAAAGCGCGUGUAGGCGGUUUGAUAAGUCUGCUGUGAAAAGUCCAGGGCUCAACCCUGGAAUGCCGGUGGAAACUGUCAAGCUGGAGUCCGGAAGAGGCGAGUGGAAUUCCUGGUGUAGCGGUGAAAUGCGCAGAUAUCAGGAGGAACACCAAUGGCGAAGGCAGCUCGCUGGGACGGUACUGACGCUGAGACGCGAAAGCGUGGGGAGCAAACAGG